rnacentral:rRNA from 1 species
UAGGGCGCGAGCGUUGUCCGGAUUUAUUGGGCGUAAAGAGCUCGUAGGCGGCUUGUCGCGUCGACCGUGAAAACUUGGGGCUCAACCCUAAGCCUGCGGUCGAUACGGGCAGGCUAGAGUUCGGUAGGGGAGACUGGAAUUCCUGGUGUAGCGGUGAAAUGCGCAGAUAUCAGGAGGAACACCGGUGGCGAAGGCGGGUCUCUGGGCCGAUACUGACGCUGAGGAGCGAAAGCGUGGGGAGCAAACAGG